rnacentral:rRNA from 1 species
GUUCCACUCCUACGGGAGGCAGCAGUGAGGAAUUUUCCGCAAUGGGCGAAAGCCUGACGGAGCAAUGCCGCGUGAAGGAUGAAGGCCUAUGGGUUGUAAACUUCUUUUCUUAGAGAAGAAUAUUGACGGUAUCUGAGGAAUAAGCAUCGGCUAACUCUGUGCCAGCAGCCGCGGUAAGACAGAGGAUGCAAGCGUUAUCCGGAAUGAUUGGGCGUAAAGCGUCUGUAGGUGGCUUCAAAAGUCUCCUGUCAAAGAUCAGGGCUUAACCCUGGGCCGGCAGGAGAAACUCGGAGGCUAGAGUUUGGUAGGGGCAGAGGGAAUUCCCGGUGGAGCGGUGAAAUGCGUAGAGAUCGGGAGGAACACCAAAGGCGAAAGCACUCUGCUGGGCCACAACUGACACUGAGAGACGAAAGCGAGGGGAGCAAAAGGGAUUAGAAACCCUAGUAGUCC